UCUUCCUCUUAGCCUUCUAUUUUUUUCUUCCUCUUAUCCUUCUAUUUUUCCAUUCCUUUUUUUUUCUUUUCUAUUUUCUUUUUCUAUUUUUUUCUUUUUCUGCCAACUUCUGAAAUAUUAUAAACAUAAUUAUUCAACCCCACACAACUCCAAACAAGACUCUUUCAACCCUUUGAAUAUGAUGAUAACAUUGUUUUUCACUUCUCGGCUUGUAAUGAGUUUUAAACAAAAAAGGGAGAAUAGGCUCAAGGGGGUUUCAAACAAGGGAUGAAAUUAUUUCAGGGUUGACUUUUUG
rnacentral:lncRNA from 1 species